rnacentral:rRNA from 1 species
GACGCGCACCGCCUCCGCACCGCAGCCCUCACUUGUCCCCAUCCCCCUUCCCUCUCUCCGCGCCGCCGCUCCCCGCCUCCCCUCCUCGCCGCCGCGCCCCUCCCCGGAUCCCGGCCGCCUCCGCGGACGGCGCAUCCGAGGCGGAAGCCAUGAGCGACGGCGAGCGCGACGAAGACGACGUUGCGACCACAAGCGCCGCAGAUGACGACGACGACGACGAUUACGAGGAGCCUGGCGGAGGGAAUCGCCUCCUGGGGUUUAUGUUCGGCAACGUCGACGAUGCUGGUGACCUGGACGCUGACUACCUCGACGAGGAUGCGAAGGACCAUCUUUUUGCGCUGGCAGACAAGCUUGGUCCAUCACUGAAAGACAUUGAUCUAACUAAGUCUUCCUCAGUUCCAGAUGAUCCUUAUGAGCAAGACUAUGAUGAGAAAGCGGAAGAUGCUAUUGACUAUGAAGAUAUUGAUGAACAAUAUGAUGGACCUGAAGUUGAAGCAGCUACGGAGGAAGAUCAUUUGCUAUCGAAGAAAGAUUACUUAUCCUCAAACACAAUGUUUGCUUCGGUCUGCAGUGAAGUUUCAGUGUUUGAUGAGGAGAACUAUGAUGAGGAUGAAGAACCACCCAAUGAUAUGGAGUUACCUGGUGAUUAUUUUAUACAAGCUGAGCAGCUGGGUAUAUCACCCUCUAACGACAAUCCUGCCAUCGAAAUGGUAUCUAGCUCGUUACCACAACUAGAGGAAAGUAUGGAUGUUGAAUAUGAAGUUUGUCAGCAGGAAGAAAUUGACAUUGAAGAAGAUCAACUGGAGUCUAAAUCUGCGACUUCCCUCCCUGUUUUAUGCAUAGAGCAUGGGAGUGCGAUCUUGAAGUUCUCUGAAGUUUUUGGCGUACAGGAGCCUGUAAGAAAAGCCAAGACAGAUCACCAUAAGCGGCCAGUGAGUAAAGAUGUCCGGAUCACAAACAUCUCUGACAUUGUUGAAGAUGACGAGGAAGUAUUUCUAAGGUGUGCUAUUCAAGAUGUCUCAUCUUUGAAGCAUAUCAAGAUGAAUGAAGAUUUGGUUGAGAGUGACAGUGAUGAGUUAAUUUCUAGUGAUACUUUUGGGUUUAAAGAUUCGUGCCUUUCUGAACAACCAAUGAAGGAAGCACACAAAGAUUUCCCUACUGCUCAACAAGCUCCAGUUUGUCCUGAUGUUUAUCCACUUGAGCACGAAGACUGGGAAAAUGGUAUCAUUUGGGGCAAUUCACCAGCAAGUGAAAGUCGGCCUUGUUUAAAAAGCUGUGUAAUAUCUGAAGAGAGCUCUGAUACUCACAGCGAAGACGAGGCUAAGGAUUAUGGUUAUGUGUCCAGGUAUUGUGAUGUACAGAGUAGAAAUAAUGGCUCUCCAGAGCCUUUUGGAUUUACAGAAAUGCCUGCUUCAGCUAGUUGUCAUUCCCCUGAGAAUAGUUACCCUCCAUUGACAAAGGAGACUCGUCUGGAGAAGAAUGACCUAGACCAUGCAGAACCAAAUAACAUAAAUGGAGCAGUUAAAAUCGCUACAAUGAAGUGUUUAAGCAACCUCUCUCUACUGAACAAGGAACUGUUGGAAGGAUCUUGGUUGGACAACAUAAUUUGGGAUCACAGUGAGGAUGCUCCUAAGCCUAAGCUAAUCAUGGACCUGAAAGAUGACCAGAUGCUUUUUGAGAUUUUAGAUGAAGAGAAUGGGAAUCACCUCCGCUCUCAUGCUUUUGCAAUGAUUGUUAGUCGGUCAGUGAGGACUUCAACAGUGGAAAAUUUUGGCCAUAAGAACCAAAUAAUUACAUUCGAUGGCCAAUUCAACAUCUCCAAUGACAAAUUUUAUUCCAACAAGGAGAUUUCACAGCAAGCUAAAUCUCAUACUAAAAAGCGUUCUUCAAUGGGCGUAAAGGUGGUACACUCUGUUCCUGCUCUGAAGCUGCAGACCAUGAAGCUAAACCUGAGCAUUAAUGAAAUUGCAAAUUUCCAUAGACCAAAAGCUAAGUGGUACCCCCAUGAAAAUAAACUUGCUGUUGAGUUGCAAGGAGUUGCUUGUAGUCAUGGGUCAAUGACUGUUAUAGUACUGACUUUGGGAGGAAAAGGAGUGAAACUUCUCGUCAAUGCAGAGGAAACUCCACUAUCAGUAAAAUCAAAAGCUUCCAAGAAAUUAGAAUUCCGACCAUCUGAAAAGAUCAAAUUGUUUGGUUCUGGAAAAGAACUUGAGGAUGACAUUUCCUUGGCCAUGCAAAACGUGCGGCCAAACUCUAUUCUGCAUGUUGUUCGCACUGAAGUACAUCUAUGGCCGAAAGCACAGAGGUUACCUGGCAAGGACAAGGCUCUACGUCCUCCAGGGGCAUUCAGGAAAAGAUCUGACUUGUCCGUUAAGGAUGGACAUGUAUUUUUGAUGGAAUACUGCGAGGAGAGACCUUUACUACUCGCAAAUGCAGGAAUGGGUGCUCGACUCUGUACGUACUACCAGAAAACUUCACCUGAUGAUCAGACAGCUACAUCCCUGCGAAGCAACAAUCAUGGACUGGGCACAGUGCUUGCUAUUGAGCCUGCUGGUAAAUCUCCUUUUCUGGGAGAUGUACGCUCUGGGUCCCAUCAAUCAUGUCUUGAGACAAACAUGUACAGAGCACCUGCAUUUCCUCAUAAGGUGGCAUCGACUGAUUAUCUUUUAGUUCGUUCGCCAAAAGGGAUGCUUUCUCUUCGCCGCAUUGACAAGCUAUAUGCUGUUGGCCAACAAGAACCACAUAUGGAAGUAUUUUCACCACGACCGAAAAAUCUGCAGAAUUAUCUUUUGAAUCGGAUACUCGUAUAUGUAUAUCGUGAAUUCCGUGUGAGGGAGAGGCCUGGUGUUCUUUCUCAGAUUCGAGCUGAUGAAAUACCUAUUGAGCAUCCUCUGACAGAUGUUAUUAUGAGAAAAGGAUUGAAGCAUUGUGCAGACCUGGAGAAAAGACCCAAUGGACAUCUUUUCUGGACACAGAGAGCUGACUUUCGAAUUCCGUCAGAGGAUGAACUUAGAAGAAUGUUGUCACCAGAAAGUGUCUGCUGUCAUGAGAGUAUGCAAGCUGCUCAGCAUCGUCUCAAGCAUUUAGGAAUCCACAAGCUUACCCAGCCUGUGGGACUGGCUUCCGCAAUGGAUCAGCUUCCCGAUAAGGCAAUUGAGCUUGCUGCUGCAGCACAUAUUGAGAGGGAAUUGCAAAUCACUAGCUGGAGCCUUACCAGUAAUUUUGUUGCUUGUAUGAACCAGGACAGAGAAAAUAUAGAAAGGCUAGAAAUCUCUGGUAUUGGUGAUCCAUCUGGCCGUGGGCUAGGAUUUAGCUAUGUGAGAGUAAAUCCUGUCUCCAAUUUACCUCAUAAGAAAAAGCCGGCUGCAGCCAAAGGCACCACUGUUACUGGGACGGAUGCUGAUCUUCGCAGGUUGAGCAUGGAUGCCGCCCGAGAGUUGCUUCUCAAAUUCGGCGUUCCAGACGAACAAAUUGAUAAAUUAACAAGGUGGCAUCGAAUUGCUAUGGUGAGGAAGCUUUCAAGUGAGCAAGCAGCGUCAGGAAUUAUGAUUGAUGAAAUUCCAGUUAGCAAGUUUGCACGUGAACAAAGGAUGUCUUUUCUGCAGCUUCAUCACCAAGCUAAAGAGAAAUGUCAGGAAGUUUGGGACAGACAAUUUCAGUCACUUUCUGCCAUAGACGAUGAUGACAAUGGCAGUGAUACAGAAGCCAACAGCGAUUUCGACUCGUUUGCUGGGGAUCUUGAAAACUUACUGGAUGCUGAAGAAUUUGACAAUGAAGAUGUUGGUAAUGCAGAUCUGAGAAGUGAUAAAGGAAACGAUAUGGAAGGGCUUAAAAUGAGAAAAUUCUCUACUCGAGUCCAAUUUAACGAGGAAGAUGAUCAGGCAGAAGCUGCUCUAGUAAAAAAAUUGCUCGAAGAGAGUGGUAAUGACAUAAAGGGGAAGAAACAACCUGUGGAAAUGACAAAUUAUGGCACCUCUAUGUAUAACCAGGGUGCCAAUAAAACGAAGCCCAGGCAAAGUGCAUUGACCCUAGAGGAGAGCACGCCAAGAGUUGUGAAAGAGGAAAAGAGGCAGGGAGCAAAGGGGGACCAACAAACUUUGUGUCUUGUCUGUGGAGCUUGUGGAAAGCUUGGGCACAUGCGGACCAACAAACUUUGCCCCAAGUAUGGGCAGGAUCCAGAAACCUCAGGAUUGGAUGUGAUUUCCUACAGAUCUAAUCCUCUUGAUGAAGCAAGUCAUGUUCAAACAACGAAGCCACCGGGCAGGAGGUUGGUAGCCAAGGUUUCUUCUGAAGUUCCUGAAACUGAAGGGCCCGAUUGCAUCGAAAAGAUCAAACCAGUAAGAUUCAGAUGUGGCGCACCUGAGAAGUCCUUGGAGAGGAAUAUGUCAGUGGCAGGUUCUUUGGUUUCUGAUAAACUCACAAUGGAUGCUAAUGAUUUGAGAUCUACUGGAAAUGUGAGCAAAAUUAAAAUAUGCAGUAAGACCAAGUCUGAAGACUAUCCUCCUGACACUCCUAAGCCAUCUAUCGUGAUACGGCUUUGUGCUAAGGCAGAAAAGGAUGUACCUCGUAAGAAGGUCAUUUUCAAGCAGCCUGAAGGGCAUGUAGGCCAGCUAACAGCUAUCGAAAAUAGGAGUGGUCAGGAACCCAGAAAGCUAAGGAAAAUUUCUGAAUUGCCAAGUUUUAAAGAGAACAUCAGAGAGAAUGAUGGUUGGUAUGCUGGAGAGCCCUGCCAAAUGAAUUCUUCGCAGGAUAGGUUGGGUCUGGAUGGUAACAGGAAAAGCAAAGUAGUAGGAAGUGAUGAAUCCUGGAGUGCUUUUAAAGAGCAGCGAGUGAUGCAGGAACAGAGGCUAAUUCAAGCUAGGAUGCAAGAAGUAAGCAGGGAGGAAGAGCUCCAGAAGUCAAAGAGGAAAAACAAGAAAAAGAAAAGACACGAAUUUCGAGAUGACGACGUUCUUGAUCACAGGCCGUACAGAAAUGACAGAAGGGUACCUGAAAGAGAUCGAGCAACAAAGAGACGUACCCCAGCUGAUAUGGCAGAAAAUGCUCCAUCGGCCAAGCGGCGCAGAGGAGGAGAGGUUGAGCUCUCCAACAUACUGGAUAAGAUAGUUGACCACUUGCGGAACCAAACUUCCAUAUCGUUGCUGUUUCUUAAACCAGUGACGAAGAAAGUCGCUCCCGAUUACUAUGACGUAAUCCAGCGCCCAAUGGAUCUGGGCACCAUCAGGGACAAGGCGAGGAAGAUGGAGUACAGAAACAGGGAGGAAUUCAGGCAUGACGUUGCACAGAUAGCAACGAACGCGCACAUUUACAAUGACACGCGGCAUCCUCACAUCCCUCCGCUGGCCGACCAGCUCCUGAAGAUCUGCAAUCGCCUUCUCGAGGAAAGCGCGGAUGCGCUCAACGACGCCGAAAGUGCGAUCGAGGGGCUAGCGCAGUAACAAGAUACUACCUAACGUAGGCUGCUGAUCCGUAGCGAGGGGAGGGAUGGCGCACUUGUACAUUCCUUUUAGCUUCAUCCCAGUUAUUUUUGCCCGUUUCUUCCUAUUAGGCGCUGGGAGUCAGAAAAAUACAUACGAGGUAAAAAAAAUUUGGGGAGUGUAGACAAGCUCUAGGUUAGCCGCAGAGGCUCCGCUGUAACUAUUUGGCCUCUUGCUGUAAAAAUGUAGCGGUAUAACUUUUGUGAAUAUUCAGAUGGUGUAGUUGUACGUCCUGGAUAUAUAGAUGUAGAAAUGGUAAGCAAAGCACGUGCCUGGGGUUGCACCUGGUCUGGUCUAAUCACUGAUGUUUGAAUCGGCAAUGGUAUGGUGGGUGAAGGUUAUUGCGUGAUGACAGGUUAUAUAUACUGUGCAGAAUGUCCAAAGUCAAAGCGUGUGGAUUGGGGUUAUAUAUAAUGUACAGGUUGCUUACCUGCCUCUCUAUACUUUUAACAUUGCUUGAGCUGCUGAAUGAGAUGUGCAUGCUUUGAAUGGAGACUUGUGACCAGGCCUGAUGAUGUAACGGAGAAGUAACCAUCUUUUUAACAAUGUUCUACUAACUGAGACCUUUUCUCUUAUUACUUGAUGUGAUGGCAUAAAAUGUGAUUAUGCCGGGGAUGUUG